rnacentral:tRNA from 3 species
UAGAUAGAAGCUUGCUGGUUUAGGCGCCUAGCUGUUAACUAGGAGUUUAUGGGAUCGAGGCCCGUCUGUCUAG